rnacentral:rRNA from 1 species
AAUUAUUCUUGAUAUAAUAUAGUAUUAAAUAAAUAUAAAAAAAAUUAAUAAAUUGAAUAAAUUAAUUAAAAAAGUAAAUAGAAAAGAAAUUUUAUAUAUAUGUAUUAACUGAAAAGGAAAAAAAUAGUUAAAAGUUAGUAAAAUUUAAAUUUUGUACCUUUUGCAUUAUGGAUUGAUAAUAUAUAAUAUUGUAUAAAUUUUUCUCGAAAUAAAAAGAUUUAUUUAAUAAAGGGUUAAGAACUUAAUAAUUUUAACGUUGUAAAGUUAUAUUAUUAUUAUUAAAUGGUAGUGAAAUGCUAUACGAUUUUUAUGAUAGCUAGUUUAUUGAUUGGAUACAUAUAAGUGUAACAUAAUUUUAGAUAUGUGUAUAUACAUAUAAAAUUAUGUAUAUAUUUAAUGGGGGAUAAGCUUCAUAUUACUAAUAAGAAUAAUAUUAUAAAAUAUUUUUAUUUAAAUUGAAUUAAAUAAUUUGGUUUAUAAUUAUUUAAUAAUAUAUAAUAAUAAUAGUCUUAAUUGGUAUCAAUAAAUUUUUAAUAAUUAUUAUAAUAAUUAAUUAUAAUGUUAGUAUGAGUAUUUUAAUUAAAAUAAUUUGUUUUGUUAGAAAUAUAAUUAAAUAUAAUAAAUAAAAUUAAUAAUAACUAAUUUUAAAUAAAGUAAAUAAAAGGAAUUUGGCAAAUAUCAAUUUCGCCUGUUUAUCAAAAACAUGUCUCUUUGUUUUAAAUAUAUAAAGAGUCGGGCCUGCUCAGUGAUAUAAUAUUUAAACAGCUGCGGUAUCAUAACUGUACUAAGGUAGCAUAAUAAUUUGCCUUAUAAAUUAAGGCUAGAAUGAAUGGUUUGACGAAAGUUGAUCUGUCUCUUAUUUAUUUUUUAGAAAUUAAUUUUUAUAGUGAAAAAGCUUUAAUUAUUUAAAGGGACGAGAAGACCCUAUUGAGCUUUAUCAAAUAUAUAUAAUAUUUUAAUUUAUAUAAGAAAUGAUUUUGAUUGGGGUGAUCAAGGAAUAAAUUAAUUUAUUUACUAACUUCCUUAAAAAAAAAAAUUGACAAAUAAAUUAACCAAAUUUUUGCUUACGUGAAUAAGUUACCAUAGGGAUAACAGCGUAAUUUUUUUAGAGAGUUCUUAUUGAUAAAAAAGAUUGCGACCUCGAUGUUGGAUUAAAAUAACCUUAAGGUGAAGAGGCUUUAAUAGGUAAAUCUGUUCGAUUUUUAAAAUUUUACAUGAUCUGAGUUCAGACCGGUGUAAGCCAGGUUGGUUUCUAUCUUUUAAUAAUAUAUAAUUAUAUCUAGUACGAAAGGACCGAUUUAUAAUCAAUUUUUAGUUUUAUUGUAAUAGUAAAGUUGAC